rnacentral:tRNA from 1 species
GCCUAGAUAGCCCAGUUGGGAGAGCGUUAGACUGAAGAUCUAAAGGUCCCCGGUUCGAUCCCGGGUCUGGGCA